rnacentral:rRNA from 1 species
GUCUAUGGUCAUGCCACCCUGAACUCACCCGAUCUCGUCUGAUCUUGGAAGCUAAGCAGGAUUGGGCUUGGUUAGUACGUGGAUGGGAGACCACCUAGGAAUUCCAGGUGCUGCAGGCA